ACGCUGCCUUUGAGCCCCUGGCACGCCUGCGUGUGGCCCCGGGAGUCAGGCUGCAGCGCCAGAGCACGGGCUCAAGCAUUAUUGGGGCCGCCAGCCCCCCUCGCAGGCGGCCUUUUUAUUUUUUUAUUUUUAUU
rnacentral:snoRNA from 1 species